rnacentral:rRNA from 1 species
UACGUAGGGGGCUAGCGUUGUCCGGAAUCAUUGGGCGUAAAGAGCGCGUAGGCGGCCCUGUAAGUCCGUUCUGAAAGUCGGAGGCUCAACCUCCGAAAGCGGAUGGAUACUGCAGGGCUAGAGUCCGGAAGAGGCGAGUGGAAUUCCUGGUGUAGCGGUGGAAUGCGCAGAUAUCAGGAGGAACACCAACGGCGAAGGCAGCUCGCUGGGGACGGUACUGACGCUGAGGCGCGAAAGCGUGGGGGAGCGAACAGG